GGGAUGAUAAUGACGGUACCUGGUAAAGAAGCCCCGGCUAACUCCGUGCCAGCAGCCGCGGUAAUACGGAGGGGGUUAGCGUUGUUCGGAAUUACUGGGCGUAAAGCGCGCGUAGGCGGAUUAUUAAGUCAGAGGUGAAAUCCCCGGGCUCAACCCGGGAACUGCAUCCGAUACUGGUAGUCUAGAGUUCGAGAGAGGUGAGUGGAAUUCCGAGUGUAGAGGUGAAAUUCGUAGAUAUUCGGAGGAACACCAGUGGC
rnacentral:rRNA from 1 species